CAACUCUGGUCUCAAUUUUUAGAAGGUUUACUCGACCAGUCGAACCUGACCUCGUGGAAUCGGAGCGCACGUUUCUAGCUGAUAAGCCCCGGAACGAGCAAUGUCAUCUUGAGAUCGCUUUGAACGACGGAAGUACCGAGCAAACUCGAACAUUUCUUCCAGUGACAUGUCUUCGAAUCGUCUAUAUCGCGGUCUACGAUAUAUUGGAUACGCAGGCAAAUCUUCGCGCAGUAGCGCCGGAUAGGAUUCGGCUUUCAAGUUACCUUUCCCGUUUUCUAUUGGCCCGAGAAAUGUUGUAAUCGGUAGUUACUGUACUGUAUAUGGCUUAUUUUGUACAUGUCGUGUUACAGCUCUCAUCCCCCUUUAAAAGCUUUCAAAUACCAAUAAACUGCACCAUCUAUAAAGUACCUACUUUUCAAGUCCAGCUCUUUCUUGCGAUUUGUGUUCGCCAUAAUGGUCUCUUGGCGGAUAACUAAAGCAGAAAGUCUGGCUUGUUCGGUCAUCUGCCGACCCAGACAAAUUUGCACAGUGAACAAGGACUUACGGGAGUCCAUUUGCUUUCGCUGCGGGAGCAGCCACGGAGAUGGCUUCGAUAUCGUCCACAAAGAGCCACCCUCUUCCACUGGACGAUAAUUUUUUGCGUUCGCCAUCAACGGUGGAGGCUGUCAAUUCUCUUUCUUACAUUUUCCGGAUCCCGCAGAUGAACUUAUGACCAAUCUAUAUUUUUCUGAAAACCACUAAUCAAACAUUUUAAAUCUGAAGGACAAUUUAAAUGAUGUUGCUAGUACAUUUUGAAUACUUGCAGUUUUUAUAUAAUUAUUUAUACCGUGUUGUUCAUUUCCCAGACAAUACCAACAUGCUCAGGUUGGGACAUUUAAGAUUAUGUAUUACUUAAUUAAAAUUUAACGCAUACAAAGAGCUUCGAUGACACUAGCCAGCUGUUUGCAGAGGCAUCCAUUGCAGAUGAACAGGAAUCUUGGAUACCCGAUUACUUACUGAUAGGGAAUGUUUAGGUCACCAAUUCUGCAGGGUGCGAUGUAACGUGUGUUAGAAAUAAAGUAGUGGUCGAUGUUGUAAAAUUUGAAGAUAAGCAUAUAUAGAAGUACACGUAAUAGCAUAAUAAAGUUUACUUCGCAUGUUGUAAAAUAAUUUUGUUAGAGUACGGCAGCAUUAAAACAUUGUUGUGCAAGAUCGUUGUGCCGUGGUAAUAACACACUCUUUCAGAGUUGCAGUACUUAAGCAAUUACAACCUUUUUAAAGAUGGAAAACGAACUUCAGUACGAGUACAGUAGUUUUCGAUGCGGAGUUAAACUGACUUGUGGGCAUAGUUUUUUUUAGCUAUCUCCGUCUUACAAUACGGUUUACUGCAAGACCGGCUUCAAGUUAUAACAAUUUUCAUUCUACUCUAGCCAGAUUAAAAUAUCACGGCGAAAUGUACGUAGUCGCAAAAGAAAUCAGAAUUCCAUCAAUCACCGAUGGUCAUUAAUGUUUAAUUAUUGGUAUCACAGAGAUUUGUGUGGAAGUAUCCAUGUGAACAUUUUGAAUUUUCACAUUGCUACUUAUCAUUUGCGUCAACGUCUCGGACCCGUAAAACAGUUAUGACAGCUGAAUCUAUCGUACCUAUAAUUCGUAAGCUUUGGCGAUCGUUUACUUUCAGCACCAAUAGAAGUCGUUUGCCUUCGAUGAUCGGCCCAUCUCCUACGAUAACCUAAUGCCUAUACGUCUGCGCAUCCUCGGACGCCUUAAAUCGGCUGAAUUUAUUUGCGCCUGCAUUUCACGCGCAUUAACACAGAAAAUCGGAUGGCACAAAGCAGAGAGCACGCGUGCAAUAUAAUUUGAUCCUGGUCGUUUCCGAAACAGUAAACAUUUUAGCUCUCAGAAUUUUAUUGUGUGACAACGUGCGUCAUAUACUGACUUAUCUUAUCGUAUUGUUAGGUUGACGAUAGCGCUUGGAUCAGCCUUGGACAGGUUGGACUGCCUGGUGAAAUAGCACAGAAUGGUCGCUUCGUGAUUGAUUCCUUCGGUGCAGUUCUUGGAGCGCGUUCUUUGUGUGGAACUGGGAGUCCCAUAAUUGGACGACUACCCACUGUGUGGACGACUGUGGCGAGGCGCGGGGUGAAGGAACCCAUGCUGGGGAUUUCAAGCAGCGCGCUACUAACUUCGCAUUACCGUACAGAAUGACGGAAUCCACGGAGGAAAUUUGGUGACGCCAUAAUACUGCUGCGCCUGUUUUUGUGGUACUUGCGGAUUUCGUGAAGGGUUUUCGAUCUGCCUACUUACAGAUGUGCAAGAUAUUACUGUUAAAUAAUAGCCUUGUUGAAUUGAAAAUUUCUGUUUUUUUUCUCUGUCGUCUUGUUGCACGGUGUCGAUCCUGCAGUCCAUCCACGGGGUGGUCGUGAUUCCUGAACGACUUGAGGUUUUCCUGUGCAAAGUAAAUGCUCGAAGUCGAAGAUGAUAGAACUGGAGAGGUUUUGGUUUGGAAUUUGUUUAAUUUAUUGCAGCUGACAAGCCAGUUUGGGUUGUUAGUAUUGUUUUGUUUUGCCUGAAAUCAAGCAAAAAUACCAUGGUUUACGGUUUUUCUUGUUUAUAAUGCCACGUUCAUCAAAAUGCAAGCUUUACAAAGGUGGUUAAUUUGCAUUUGUUUUUGAGGCCUAUAGUUUGCUUUCUCUGUUUGAGCUGUGCCGUUUUUGCUUUGGUAGUUUCACACUGUUUCCCUUAUUUUGUCAGCCAUCUGUAUUAUUAAUGAUGCGUUCGAUGUCACAUCGAGAUCAUCCACCCCCAUUUAUUUGCGCUUUAUGAACAGAUUCAGACUUGGAAGUGAUCAUAAGCACAAUUGUUGCGCAGUAUGUGGUCUGAAUAUGAUUAUAACAGGGGGUUUCGGCUUCUGUGCGGCAUAUAAGUUUUUUGGUAUUGCUCAUAAUAUGUGUUCCGGAUAACUAUUUCCUUGCUCUUUACUUUGUCGAUGUGCAUACCUUGAUCCAGAAUGUGACGAGCGUGUUUUUUCGGUGCUUUGUUGUCGUUUGCGGCGCAAACUGAAGAUUCAGGCAUCUUUACAUUUGUCUAAUGCUGUCUAAGCAGCUAGAUUCUUUGGCAUUAUGCUGUACCUACAAGGUUAUUUAUCAUAGAAAAAUGUUGACUGUUCAGCGUUUUUCCUUAGUCAACAUGCUGUAUGUGCCGCUCACAUUACGAUGUCAGAUGUUAAUGGUAACGUCGCAGGUGGUGUUUGUAGCAAGUAAUGACCGGUCCGGCUUGUUGCGAUAAGUGGUUAUAUCUGGCCAGACGUCUUGGUUUUACUAUUGUUAUUUAAGCUUACUUUAAAAUACUGCAUCUACAGGGUUUUGCAUUGAAUAAUUUCUUUGUGCUGUAAGUGUAAACGUAUUUUCUUUAAAAUUAAUUACUCAUUUCCACAUUCCUACUCCAGUGCUCGCCGCAGUCACUCGCCUCUCCUUUAUGUCUGAUCAGCCUUGCUCGGUUUUUUUAUAAUUUAACUCUGUGUUUUCUUUUUUUUUCAGUUUUUUUAUACCUGCGGCUGCUGUGCCUUUUGUUCGGUUUUUGCUUUCAAAAUUUAUUAAUCAUUUUGCGAGAAUUUCGACGGUACAUGCAUUUUUCGUCUCAUUGUAUGCGGUAUACGAGUAUGGUGACAAAAUAUUUCGACAAAACUAUGGUUAGAUUUGAGUUGGGAUGGCUGAAAUCAGGAUUCAAGCUGCGAAAAUUACUUAUAAAGUUAGUGCCGAUUGGAUUUUGUGAGUGCAUUUGCAGAUACUAUGCCAUUGCGACCAAGGACUGCACCUGCACAUCAUUAAUGGUUUCAUUAGAGAAAAGUUAUGGUUAGCAGAUACUCUUCUUACUAUUUGGCCGGUUUGCUUUCGUACAGUUUGCUUUCUAAGAUCGGUUGCUGAAAUGCAAAACCGCUUGCGAAGCUGCCCAAACGUUUUUUGGAAAAAACAUUUUUGUUUUUACCCACAUGUAGUGUUUCUUUGAAAGGCUGUUCUUUCCGUUCAGUACACAAUUAUACACUGAACUAAUAAGACAUUGGACAAAAAAUUAGCAAAAUGUUGCGUUUCAAGUCUUUUCUCACGUUUAUUUGUGUAAAACUCGCUCGGGUUCGGUAUAUCGAACGCAUCGCUGUUUGUACUUGAUUUGUGAAUAUAUUGUAGCAG